rnacentral:rRNA from 1 species
UACGGGGGGGGCAAGCGUUGUUCGGAAUUACUGGGCGUAAAGGGCGCGUAGGCGGGGUCAUAAGUCUGUGGUGAAAUCCUCCGGCUCAACCGGAGAACUGCCUCGGAUACUGUGGCUCUCGAGGGUGGUAGGGGUAUGCGGAACUAUCGGUGGAGCGGUGAAAUGCGUUGAUAUCGAUAGGAACUCCGGUGGCGAAGGCGGCAUACUGGACCACUUCUGACGCUGAGGCGCGAAAGCUAGGGGAGCAAACAGG